rnacentral:piRNA from 1 species
UNGUGCCCUGUCUUCUCGCUCAGAGCUU